rnacentral:rRNA from 1 species
UACGUAGGGGGCAAGCGUUGUCCGGAAUCAUUGGGCGUAAAGAGCGUGUAGGCGGCCCGAUAAGUCCGCUGUGAAAGUCCAGGGCUCAACCCUGGGAUGCCGGUGGAUACUGUCGGGCUCGAGUCCGGAAGAGGCGAGUGGAAUUCCUGGUGUAGCGGUGAAAUGCGCAGAUAUCUGGAGGAAUACCGGUGGCGAAGGCGGCAUCCUGGACCGAGAUUGACACUGAUGAGCGAAAGCUAGGGGAGCAAACGGG